GUGAAGAGCGUGAAGCCGUGUCUGAAGCAGCUGCAGCAGUGCAUCCAGACCAUCUCCACGCUGCACGAUGAUGAGAUCCUGCCCAGCAACCCCGCUGACCUCUUCCACUGGCUGCCCAAGGAGCACAUGUGUGUGCUUGUCUACCUGGUGACUGUGAUGCACUCCAUGCAGGCCGGCUACCUGGAGAAGGCGCAGAAGUACACGGACAAGGCCCUCAUGCAGCUGGAGAAGCUCAAGAUGCUGGACUGCAGCCCCAUCCUGUCAUCCUUCCAAGUGAUCCUGCUGGAGCACAUCAUCAUGUGCCGCCUCGUCACGGGUCACAAGGCCACGGCGCUGCAGGAGGUAAGGCUGGAAGCAGGAGGGGCGGGAAGGCCCAGGAGUUUGUUGGGUCUCAGCAGUGUCAGACAAGAGACUGAAUUCGCCAAGUGCAUACUGGCAGGCCAGCCCAUCCUGCUGUCUCGCUGUCGGCCAGCGUUUUACAGCCCUGCAUGGGCACCACUGAUCAGAGAAUCUCAUACAAAAACCAGUGGAGGCCGGGCACAGUGGCUCACGCCUGUCAUC
rnacentral:sRNA from 1 species